rnacentral:lncRNA from 1 species
AUGAUGAAAAUUAAUGAGUGCCUCGUUGAUCUCUAUGUAGCCCAUGCUCACCACUUCUCUUUUGAACUUUCUUGAGAAUAAUACCAAACAGUAGUCACACUCUCACAAAAACAAAAAAAACUUAAAAAGAGAAACAAUUUAGUGUCUCUCUCUUUUUCUCUUUAAGCUUAUCAGCUACUUGUAUCCAUAUCCAACAACAUCAAUGGGUGAGGUUUGCUUUGCUCUUUACCCUUUUACGUUUUUUUUUUUUUUUUGGUUUUUUGGUUGGGAUUUCUGUUUUUUUUUUGUUAUAGGAAGAGAAGAAGAAACCAGAAGAAGUAACACAAUUUAUAUAGUGACGGUGGUUCGCAAUCUUCAAAUUGAAACAAGGAAUUAAGUCCUUUGUGGUUGGUGCUAAGAGGUAUGUUCUGAAUUGGGUAUUUGCUGGCACAUUGCAAUUGGAGAUUGAGCAUCAUUUGGCCAUGAUUUAGGAGUUGUGCCAACGCUCCUGGCUUUAUGUAUGUAUAAUACAUCGGCAUUGAAGAUCUCAAAUUCCUACUUCUUAUCUUAGAUUUCAUUUUUCUACUUUGGAACUUGAGUUGGAAUUGGAGAAGAGAGGUUUUUGGACGAAGGACGAAACUGUGUUUCUUUGAUAGUUGGGUCGAUGGCUAGCCUUUUAAUUAGUUUUGGACUAUAAAAUACAUACUGCAAUUUUUUAACUAGCGGAUGAUACUAGUUUCUAGCGGCCGGCUAUAAAUGAAGUUUGCUCAAUACUGAUCGAGCAUAAUUUUUACAUAAUAUAUACGUUGUGUUCUCUCGUAAGUCUCAUUCUCUGGUCACUUGGAUGUAAUUUGCUUUAAUUGAGUGGAAAUAAUUUCAGAACUUUUUUCUGAAUCAUCUAGAAUUUUGGUAUGCCCGUUGUACUUACAAAAGCCCGCAGAACUAUAUUCAAAAGGAGUCACAUGCAAACAUGG